GCAUUUGACUCGGGGCGCCUUAAGGCUGAGAUGAACCCGUAUUACCUGAUCUGGAUAAUGCCAGCGUAGGGAAGUCGGUGAACUGGGUA
rfam:Moellerella wisconsensis ATCC 35017 Sequence00018, whole genome shotgun sequence.